rnacentral:rRNA from 1 species
UCAGGAUGAACGCUGGCGGCGUGCCUAAUACAUGCAAGUCGAACGAGGUGCUUUUGUAGCAAUACGAGAGUAUCCUAGUGGCGAACGGGUGAGUAACGCGUUGGUGACCUACCCCAAAGUGUGGGAUAACAGUCCGAAAGGAUUGCUAAUACCGCAUGUGGUUAUUGGAUCUAGAAACUGAUAACUAAAGGAGCAAUUCGCUUUGGGAGGGACCUGCGUCCCAUCAGCUAGUUGGUGAGGUAACGGCCCACCAAGGCUACGACGGGUAGGGGACCUGAGAGGGUGGCCCCCCACAAUGGAACUGAAACACGGUCCAUACACCUACGGGUGGCAGCAGUGGGGAAUAUUGCACAAUGGGCGAAAGCCUGAUGCAGCAACGCCGCGUGUGCGAUGAAGGCCUUCGGGUCGUAAAGCACUUUUCUGAGAGAUGAGAAAGGACAGUAUCUCAGGAAUAAGUCUCGGCUAACUACGUGCCAGCAGCCGCGGUAACACGUAGGAGGCGAGCGUUAUCCGGAUUCACUGGGCGUAAAGCGCGUGCAGGCGGUUUGGUAAGUUGAUCGUGAAAGCUCCCGGCUCAACUGGGAGAGGUCGGUCAAUACUACCGAACUAGAGAGUAGAAGAGGAAGAUGGAAUUCCCGGUGUAGUGGUGAAAUGCGUAGAUAUCGGGAGGAACACCAGUGGCGAAGGCGAUCUUCUGGUCUAUUUCUGACGCUCAGACGCGACAGCUAGGGUAGUAAACGGGAUUAGAGACCCCGGUAAUCCUAGCCGUAAACGAUGUGAACUUGGCGUCGGUGGCUUAAACACCAUCGGUGCCGAAGCAAACGCGAUAAGUUCACCGCCUGGGGACUAC